CAGUAGCCGCGGGAAUACGGAGGGGGCUAGCGUUGUUCGGAAUUACUGGGCGUAAAGCGCACGUAGGCGGCUUUGUAAGUUAGAGGUGAAAGCCUGGAGCUCAACUCCAGAAUUGCCUUUAAGACUGCAUCGCUUGAACGUCGGAGAGGUGAGUGGAAUUCCGAGUGUAGAGGUGAAAUUCGUAGAUAUUCGGAAGAACACCAGUGGCGAAGGCGGCUCACUGGACGACUGUUGACGCUGAGGUGCGAAAGCGUGGGGAGCGAACAGGAUUAGAUACCCCUGUAGUCCCUGUCUCUUAUAC
rnacentral:rRNA from 1 species